rnacentral:lncRNA from 1 species
CUUUGUCCUCUGCCAUGAGUGUGAGGCCUCCCCAGCCAUGUGGAACUGUGAGUCCAUUAAACCUCCUUCUUUAUAAAUUCCCCAUUCUCAGGUAUGUCUUUAUUAGUAGCGUGAGAACAGAUGAGGCUCACUGGACUAGCUGGUGGGGGAGGAGAAAGCAGCCCAUGUUCCCUCUCUCAAGCAGGACCAUUUUGUUUUCCUCAGUUUCCCUCUUCCACUUCCACUUGGGGACCCCCACAGCCAUGGCCAGAGAGAGGGAGCUUGGGGUCCCAGUGCCUGGUACAAACUCACUCUGCCCCUCACUGCCCUUGGGGUCCCCACUCUGUGGGGUCAGGGACCGGGGUCCACAAGGAACUGCUUGUCGCCAUCUUCCCACCCCCCACCCCAAAGGGGCUUGAGCAUGUUCCCAGGCUCGCUUUCCCCACUGAAGGAGGGGUGGCUGUGUGAGUCCUUCCACUUCAUGACCCUCUCUGUUUCCUUAUAUGUUCAGCAAAGGCUUGACUGAAGUCACGGGUCUCAUCAUUCCUUUCCUAAGCUUUCUUCAAACAGCAUGGUGCGUGGAUGAGGACACACGUGCUCUGUAGAAGGUGGGGCCACAAAGCCCUGCCGACCGACCUUUCCUGCCUUCUGCCUCUAAGGUGCAACCCCGAAAGCACCUGCUGGAACCUUUGGGGCUCAGGGAGCACAGCCUGGAAGCAGGGGGAUACUCCCCAGGGCUGCAGUCCACCUCGGAAGCUGCUCACCACAGGUGUCUGCUUACACUUCAAUUCAGAUCACAUAAGAUACACAUGCAGCUCUUAGGCUUCUGAGCCACCCUUCAAGAGCACAGCCACUCGUGGCUAAUGGCUGCUGACUGGAACCCUGGAUGGCCCAAUCUGGAACUUUUCAUCACCCCAGAGCAUCCUGUGCAGUGCUUCUCCCGGGGAGCCCUGCAGGCAGUGACCUCCAGCUCCGAGCCUGAUCCCACAUGAGCAGGAAGAAGACAGCCCAGGGAGGCUGCCCACAGCCACAAGCUCAUUUCUCAUGGCAAACCACAAAUGGGAGAUGCUAAGAAAUUAGAAUAGAGGAUGCUCCAGAGCAGACGCUCCUGUUUACAGGAAACAAGGUUCAUUCUGUGGGAUAAGGAUUGGAUCUGAUCUGCGGCCAUUUACUUUCUACGCAACCUACCCCUGCCCUCACUGCCGACGCUGCCUCAAUCAGCUUCCCAGGGACAAACGUGAAAUCAAGCCCACCAGCUCCAAGACAAACACAAUCUCAGGGACUGGGCCCCAAAGCCACGAUGGGCAGGGAUUGCUCCCAGACGAGGGAAUGCUUUCAAAAGAAACAGAGAGUUUUUACCUUUUUGCCAACAAUUCUGUGGGCAACAUUUGUUUUCUAUUUUCCUUUUUUUCUCCCACUAAAUCACUUUUAUAAACUCCUCAAAAGUUUCAGUUUAUUCAGUGACAAUUAGUUUAUGGCAUUUCUGAAGUGGAUUUAGAUUCGAGUGAUAAAAUUACAAGCCAAAAUUGCAACCAUAAUGGAAAAUCCUGGUUCAUGUUUGGCCUUUGAGACCACAACUGAGAGAUUACGGGUGGACGCCAGCGAGCAGGGGGCAGCAGUCACUGAGCGUUCCCUUCCCCACGGAGUAGGGUCCCAAUCUGCCAACUCCUGGGGUGUUGGCGGGACAGGAGGCAUGGACGUGGCAGAACACGUGGCAGGACAGGUGGAAGAAGAACACAGGCUGGUUGGCAGGUUCACAUCUUCUCGCCCCGAGACAUGUCCUUUCUGUCCUCAAUUUCAGAACCAGCACUUUCCUGAAUUCCAGGCCAGCUGAUUGCAUCUCAGUUUCUUAGUGUUUAACGGAGACCUUCCUGAGCUAUUUCCUGAUAGCAGCUGGGAGCCUUUUGAACAGCCUGCAGCGGGAUUCUGGAACAAUCUAAACUGGCCAUGGCAGUUCCAGGGGCAGGGCUGACUUUGAACUCCAGCAGGAAGUGCAGUGCGAGGCCAGCUCACCCACUUCAGCGUCUCUUUCCUUUGGGUCGUUUAGACCCCAACAACACCCCCAAGUCCUGUCGCCCCUGCGGGAAGGAGAGGCUGGUGGGAGGAAAGAAGCCUUGUUGAGCAUCUACUGCAGUCCCGCCCUGGGGCUAUGGCUGGGAGCUGGACAGGCCGGGUCCUUGCCCUCCUGGGGCCUGCCUUCUAGUGGGGAGAGAGAUAGAGACAGAGGAAACAAAACACAGACCAGAGGAUUUCGGAGGGUCUGAGGACUCCGAGGAGAA